rnacentral:rRNA from 1 species
CGCAUCUGUGCAUGCAGCAUAUCAAUAAGCGGAGGAAAAGAAACUAACUAGGAUUCCCUCAGUAACGGCGAGUGAAGCGGGAAGAGCUCAAAUUUGAAAUCUUGAAAGGUCUACCUUGCACGAAUUGUAGUUUAAAGAAGUGUUUUCUGCUGAAGUUUUGGUAAAAGUUCUUUGGAAUAGGACAUCAUAGAGGGUGAGAAUCCCGUAUAUUGACCUUGGACUUUGUCAGCUUUGUGAUACACUUUCAAAGAGUCGGGUUGUUUGGGAAUGCAGCCCAAAACGGGAGGUAAAUUUCUUCUAAGGCUAAAUAUUGGCGAGAGACCGAUAGCGAACAAGUACCGUGAGGGAAAGAUGAAAAGAACUUUGAAAAGAGAGUUAAAUAGUACGUGAAAUUGUCAAAAGGGAAGCGUUUAACACCAGUGUUGUUUUCUGAAAAUCAACCUCUGUUAGCUUUAUGCAUGUUUGUUUAGACCUAAUCAGCUAUCUUGCAUGUUCUAUUGUUUGCAGUGGUGCACUUUUCAGUUUACAGGUCAACAUCAGUUUUUUUUUACCGUAAAAAAGUUAAAGAAAGGUAGCUCAUGGCUCCGGGUCGUGAGUGUUAUAGUCUUUUUCCUAUGCGGUAGGAGAGACUGAGGUCUGCAGUGUAGGCUAUUUGGCUAGAUACUCAGGUGCUAUGUGAUACCAUUUCAUAAACAACUUGUUGAUUAUGUUUUGUCUAUUGCAUACUCGCUUGUACUAUCAUACCUACGCUUAGGAUGUUGACGAUCAGCUGAGCGCG